AUGUCAUUCUAAUUUGGUAUUCCUUCUCUUGGAAAGCAAAAAGGGUCAGCCUUACAGCCCGGUUCUCCCUUGAGGCCAGAACCAAUUUCUCCCUUGGACAGAGUUGGAAGAGAAAACUGAGGCUCUGAGUGGCACAUCUUGAGCUCUGGGAGGUAGUGGCAGUAAAGGAUCUGCUCUAAAAAACGAAUCCACAUUCAUCAGAGAUCCCAGCCUCUUGGAGAUAGGACUGACAAGAAGCCUUAUCAAGUUAAUGUUACUGAAGGAAUAGAGAUUGGCUCUCAAAUCUUACCCACUGCAGAUACUAAGUGAUAGUUCAUGGAGUUACCCCUGCAAAAGUUGAGGAGUGAUUGCAGAUAUGAUUUAACUCAAUGCCCUUCUUGGACCUGGGCUUUUGGAGGAAACAUCCAGUCUUCUUAUGUUUCUAUCACUAGAAAUCACAGUCUCCUUUGGAGGAGGAAACAGAUUUGGAACCAGGAAGCCACUUUACCUAGUUGGUAAAAGACCGAGUCAGGGAUGGAACCCAGAUGUCCUGACUCCAAGCAAAGAGCUGUUUUCUCUCCAUCGCGAUAUAGAUGGUGCAAAGCUGGGAGGCAGAGCGACUACGAUGGAUGAAAGUAUUAAACAUCCUAACAGCAGAACAGAACAACGGCUGGAUAGAAUAAAAGGAAAUCCUGAAAGCCCCCGAGGUCAGAAUAAAGGCAGAACUUCAAUAAACUCCUUCCGUGGGAGCUAA
rnacentral:lncRNA from 1 species